CAGACGAGAGAAGACUAUAAAUUACAAGCAGUAACGAUAGGAAAACAAAGUUUUGAAUAUAUUGGAUCAAGUUGUGCAAGGCUCGACAAUGAAGCUGUUUCACCUAGGCGCUGUCAGUUUGCUUGUUGCGAGCAUCUUUAUGACCGCCUCUGCCUACAAAUGGAAAACGCCGGUUGGCCCUGAUAUUUUUUCGAUCCUGAUUUACCUGUUCGUGUUUAUUAUCGUCAUUCGAGUUUUGUUCCCUGAUAAUAACAAGAAAGGCGUCAAUUCAUAUCGGUAAACACUCAAGUUUUGGAGUGAAAGGCCAUUCACCAAUUUAGCUGAUGAUAUAAACUGUUUAUGAGGAAUGUAUCAAUAAAGCUAAAGCAGUAUACCGA